CUCGCUUCUCGGCCUUUUGGCUAAGAUCAAGUGUAGUAUCUGUUCUUAUCAGUUUUUUUGGGGACGUUGUGGCCUAAUGGUUGGAGAGUUUGACUCCUAACCCUAAGGUUGUGGGUUCGAGUCUUGGGCCGGCAAUACCACGACUGAGGUGUCCUUGAGGAAGGCACUGAACCCCCAACUGCUCCCCGUGCG
rnacentral:snRNA from 12 species